CCUUCUGAUUGAAAAGGGAGCUACGUGGACAACUUUGGAGAUCAAAGAGCAGCCUCCACAGAAUGCUGGCUGAUGCCAAACAGUCCUGCCAGGUCCUUUGGUAUUGCCAGAGCAGAGAUGGUUUGAACAUACUGGAGAGCUCCACAUUUGUUCUCCCUGUUAUCACAUAAUGAGAUGAUCACAGCCCUAUUUUGAGUCUUUUUGUCUGAAAUAGCAUUCCCUAUUUUUACUACCAUUUGACAAAAAAGAAGAAAGAAAGAAAAACAGCCAAAGUUAUUUCAGGAUCAAGACAAAGAAUCAUCACGGAAUGCUCUGGGACACCUGGGCUUUUGCUGAUCUAGAAUGUGCUCCUCCUGAAAUUCUGGAAUUGUCUCUAGACUGCACAUUGGAUUCAGGUCUUCCCUACUUCUCUCUCACCUCCUUGAACCAGCGACUUGCUCAAACAUGUUCUUAUUACACAAUGAAGGCACAGGACCCUUGAUUUUGGCCCUAGGAGCCUUACACAUUUUACUCAUAAUGGAGUCAAGUUUUCUUUAUAAAAGACACCAUUUACACAGGCUGUAAUUUCCACAUGUCAAGAAAGAUAUGCAUGUGAAAGCAAAACC